UUAUCCAGAUCACGGCAAAAUGUAAAUUUAGCAUAUAAACCGCAUGUAGCAUGUUGAAAUAAUUCAAAUUCUGUCAUCCCCAAUCCAGUUUCAAUAACUUUGUGUGCACAGUCCAGGAUUUCGAUUUGCAGCCAAAUGUAAUACUGAUGAAGAGAACAUAUUUCUUAGUCGUUUAAUUGAAAUCGAAAAAACCUUUAAGGUUUAUACGGAUGCCAUCAUUCCAACCAAAUGAAUGCAGAUCUGCUUCGUGAGGAACAUGGCGGGAUGUCCUUUUUCCCGAUGUACUUGAAGGACAUUUGGAGAUGCGACAUUUACAUUCCUCUCUUACAACUCUCAGUCCCAUAUUGUAUUAACCCUUGUAACCUCCCACAAUGCUUUUUCUCCCACUCUCGUCCAUGCUUGUGGAGGUUGUCUGUCUCCUCUGAGAGGCGAGCAGCGGACAAAACAUCGCCGUGAUUGAAACUCUGUGUUUGCCGCACGCACACAUCCAUGUACCGACACAAAGAAAUUUCGGGGUGGGGCACGCGCGUCGUAAUGCUUGUCGCGGCCCGAAUCAUUAAUGCAGCCUCACAGAGCCGGCCGGGCUUGAUCCAAUGUGGAGCUCAGCACACAUGUCUUCAAUUGAAUGUACAUGUGUGUCAUCGCCUUCCACUUCGUCCUUUGCCGGGAGACAUUUGAGUCAAUAUGUUUGUUUUUGUGACAUUCAAAGUAGCGAUAAAGAAUGUUUGAUUGAAAGGUCCUAUCGACAGAUUGGAGUCCACCGGAACAAGUUGCUAUCGUUCAAGAGUUCCGCUUUUCAAACUCCGGGGAGGUUUUGUUUGUAGCUGGUGUCGCUGGGAAGAGACGGCGAAAAGGAGCGGAAGUUCAGGCGUGCAGGUCAGAAAUGGAGGAGAGGGAGGACACGAGAUGAGGGGAAACUGACCUGGAGCUGCAGCGCACGCUGGCCAGAGAUGGAGGAGAGGAUCAAGGCAGGAAGAUGACGGAAAGAGAACAAGAUGGAAGAGUGGGAGGUCGUGAAAAGAUGGGGCCUGCACUGGUGCACAAAUCCAUCGGAAGGCUGUCAUUGUUGCCCGUGUUCUUGCGUCUCCCAUGUCAGGAGGUCCCAUGUCUUGCCUGAGGCAAGAAAGCAUGAGAGAGAGGCAAGGCAGGUGGGCAGGGGGAGGCCGCCGAGAUGCCGCUACAGGAGGACCUUGUCCAUACUGUGUGACGCACCGAUGCUGUUCUAAUGGCCACAUCGCUACCCAUCUGGUGUCCAUCAUUCGGAUUCAGGGCAGGGCCCGGCCCAUCAGAUGCGUCCAGAUUAGUCCUGCUCAUCGAUUCGUGCCAGCUCGCCACGACUUAGUCAACCCAAGGGAGGACCAUAAAAGGGAAAAGCGAUGCAGCGGAGCAAGGCGAGCCAGCUAAUGUUCCCCAUGAGCUCUGACGUAAUGCGAAGUGUUUGUGUCAACUUGAAGAAUGGGAUACGGAUGCUUAGGUUAAGUAUGCUUUGAGUCCAACUGCUUUGAUCUUGAAUGAUGUACGGGUGAUUUUUGAUAUGGGACAUGAUACUUAGCGGAUUGUCAAAUAAUCACCAUCUCCUCACCGUGCACAAGAAGAACACUGAUUAUUUUCCAAUAGACUGAGCAUGACAACGUCACAUCUGUGACCUAAAGACACUGAAUCCCAUUUUCCCAUUUUUACGCAGGCUACUAGCCUUAUCUGUGCUUACGGUCUGAAGCGUGUAAUCGUAUAAAUAGGCUUACAAAACACAAUACAUGCACAACAAUUCCACUGCUUCAGCAAACAAUGACAUUUAUUAUGUGAGUUGUAAACGGAUAAAUCCUAAAGCUACCGUAUUCCACUGUAUCAAUACACUUGAUUUUUAUUACAUUACUUGAAGUACAGUAUCCCACUGCUAGUGUUGUAUGUAUCCCUGUAAUGUACACUGGAUACUUCAUUGGAUACAUCUGCGUGGUUGCGUGCGCUGUACAAUAUUUUAUGUAUGUAUUUGCUUUAUGUGACAGCCAUACCCAAUGUUGUGGCUCGUAAAUAUCCAAACGAGUGUCAUAGAGGAUACAAGAGGCAGAGAA